GCUGCUGGCAGGACGUGCUGAUGCGGGAUCAGCUUUCCCGGUGAAGAUGAAGCCACGCUACACGAUACAAUCUUUACACCUCAUCCAGCUGCACCUAGCACAAUACUCGUCGUCCAUACAGGCAGACGAGGUGAUGCUAGAUGCAGAUCCCAGCUACCACAGCAAGAUGGCGCUCCAGCUGAAACUCGAGGACAAGCGAACGCUGCUGCGAUGCAAGAACGCUCUGUUGCGGCCACCUAGCUGAUGUCGCCCUCUCCGUCGCUAAAGCUCAUUAGCAGCUGGGCUCGUUAGUAACGGAUGCUUGGCUCGUUAGCAGUGGAUGCUGCACUCAUUAGUAAUGGAUUGUAGGCUCAUUUGCAGUGGAUGCUGGACUUGUUAGCAGUGGAUGCUGGACUCAUAGUAAUGGAUGCUUGGCUCCUUAGCAGUGGAUGUUGGACUUGUUAGUAUUGGAUACUGGGCUCGUUACUAAUGGAUACUAGGCUUGUUAGCAGUGGAUGCUGGACUCGUUAGUAAUGGAUGCUAGCCUCGUUAGCAACGAUAGCUAGACUCGUUAACAGCGAUUGCUAGGUUUAUUGGCUCUCACUAUGUAGCCCUUCACUCAAACCCAGGCAAUUGGAGUAAAGGGUUUCACAAUUAGAGCUAGGACAGCAUAACAUGCUAAUUAGUUCACCACUAAUGCAUAAAUCUUUGCUAGCACUGUGUGCCUUAAAUUUGCUAGUGUUGCCAGCUGAGGCGAGCGGUAUGUUAGGCUGUCGAUAAGGCACCUGGGGUCCAUUGUUAGAAUGAAAACUAGUCUUUAAACGAGUCUUAACAUUAACUUUUUAUCCUAGAUUGCUGACAGAAUUUUGUUUUGUGAAAUUCUGAGGAAAAUUGGUAGAAUAUUUUAUUCAUGUAACUAACUUUCAGCAGUCUAAGAGAGAAAGGUUGAUGUUAAGACUAACGUGUCUAAAAGUAAUUUUAAGAUGGAAUUCUCGCCAGGGAAAAGACGAGGAACAAGUCUGCUGCGUGCUCCGAUUGGUGGAAAACCUGAUCAAAUUAUCUUGGAGAUGCAUUGCUCCCAGAUGCUUGCCGAAGCUUUCAUCCAGGACUUCACUUAUAAGGCUCUUUCACUGACUGCUUAAAUGCUCAAAAAGCUUUUACCGUCAUACUGUGAAAUCUUAUUUUGGGUGUAGUUUAUUUGUACUCCUUAAAUCAAAGUUUUCACUCCUAUACCUUCCUUAUAUUUUUACUCCCUGUGAACGGAUACAUCAAAUAUGUAGUCCAACACAGAAACACAUGGUUCUGUACUCAUGCACUUGGUAUACAUUAAUUAGCAAGGCCACCAAUAAGUUUGGUUGAUGAUGGUGAUGAUAAUGAUGGCGGUGAUGAUGAUUGUAAUUAUUAUUAUUAUUAUUGUUGUUAUUAUCAUAUACAGUGUGUGAAUCAUGGAUCAUAUAGUCUUCCCAGCUUUGCUAGAAACUGUUAACAAUACUGACGUGAGUGUGAGACAUCAGUUGUUACUGUUAUCGAUAUUGUUGUUGUAAAGUAGAUGUGAAUAUACUUGCAAGUAUGCUAACCAGA